rnacentral:rRNA from 1 species
GGGUUGUGAGGUUAAGCGACUAAGCGUACACGGUGGAUGCCCUGGCAGUCAGAGGCGAUGAAGGACGUGCUAAUCUGCGAUAAGCGCCGGUAAGGUGAUAUGAACCGUUAUAACCGGCGAUUUCCGAAUGGGGAAACCCAGUGUGACUCGUCACACUAUCAUUAACUGAAUCCAUAGGUUAAUGAGGCGAA